rnacentral:rRNA from 1 species
UACAGAGGGUGCGAGCGUUAAUCGGAAUUACUGGGCGUAAAGCGCGCGUAGGCGGCUUUGUAAGUCUGACGUGAAAUCCCCGGGCUCAACCUGGGAAUUGCGUUGGAGACUGCAAGGCUGGAGUCUGGCAGAGGGGGGUAGAAUUCCACGUGUAGCAGUGAAAUGCGUAGAGAUGUGGAGGAACACCGAUGGCGAAGGCAGCCCCCUGGGUCAAGACUGACGCUCAUGCACGAAAGCGUGGGGAGCAAACAGG